CUCAAUUAGUUGAUUGAGUCAGGUGAUGAGGUUCCGUUUAGCUUUGUUUGGUAUUAACACACUGUAAAGUCAGUUAUUACGUCGAGUGAAUAUCAAAUACAUGAUGUAAUUUGGACAUAUAUUUUGGCUUCACAUAUUAACACCAUAAAUGUCGGUCCACAUAAACUAACAGAACUCUGCAACUAAUUACUGGAGCGAAAAAGCUGCUCUGGAAUAAACAGAACUGCAGGGGUGACAACAGACCAAGUGAGAUGACGGAGUGAGCAGAGAGGCUGCAGGGAGAUGAAAGCAGCGUUUUAGAUCGUCACGCUGUCAGGAAGGAGACGUAGUGGGGAACCAAUUCAAGACAACUCCUGGUGUGCUGCAGGGAUGAUAUAAGACGUCACUGGGGAGGAACUGUGACAGGACUGUUGUCAAGGAGCCAGUAUCAUGGGCGGAUGGCUCUGCGGUGGAGAUUGGAAGCCUGGAGAUGAGGGCCCUGUCAGCGGGACUGCAGGAGAAGAUGAUAAAAAUCGGUUCCGACUGUGCUCAGUUCUCACAUCCACCUCCCACCCAGCGUCUGCAUCUUCCUCACCAUUGUGAGUGUAGAGGUGGGAUACAGCAAGGAGCAGAGCAGUGGGAGCGGCGAGGAAAUAAGAUGUGAAAAAGAAGAAAAACAGAUAUCAAGACAAUCUUCUUUGUUUUUAGAGAACCUGCUCUUAUUGGUGGGUGGUCUUUUUGUGUAUUAAAAGUAACUUUAUUUUUGUAGUUUGGCAAAAACACAUUUCAGAGUACUCCAGGUCUUUAAUAUGUUGCAGAUGCCGUUAUUGAAUUCUGCAGUGAUAUCCGUUAUAGUUGACCUGAAUGGUCACUCACUUUUUUUCAUUUUCUUCCAUCACAAUGUCGCCACAGCUAUUUGAGCUGUAGUUUCUCAGCCACUAAAUGUGGACUUUAAAUAAGAUAUCCUCCCAAAUAUUGCAGGAAAGCAUUUCUUUCUGGCUGUAAUAUUGCAAAUAUUGAUUUUGCUUUAUCAAUUACGACUUGCUAUACGGUGCUACGGCAGUAUAUUUUAUGAAAGUUGAGCUUGACAGAAGCUUGCAAAAUUGAGGAAACAGAUUUAAAACAUGCAUACAAGUGCACUUUGGCCUAAGUGUUUUGGGUUUUUUUAUGCUUUCAGAGUGAUGCAUUUAUGUAGGCCAGUUGUAACAAAAUUUUAAAAACCUUUUUUUUUUUCUAAAUCAUGUUGCCCUCCGAGAUGAGGUGUGAUUUGUGAGCUGAC